rnacentral:pre_miRNA from 4 species
UCUUAGGGAUGAACAGAGUGGUUUCUUGAGAUGGAAUCUACUCCUGGUGAAGAUGCUGUGAA